ACAUAUUCUCACGGUGGACCCGCCAUAUUUAUCCUGCCGCUGACUGAGGACGGCAGGCUAACUGCUCUCGAGAGUGGAUGAACAAGCCUCAAAUGGAAUAUGAGACGCAAAAAAAAGAGGAGAGGAGGAGGGGAGGGUUAAAAUCAAUUUUCCCAGACAGAGGCAGGCUGGUCUAAUGGAGGUCUAAAAGAAGAGGAGGAGAGGACAUAUUUUCCUCUGAUUACCUCCUGUAGCCUCCCUGGCAAACCUUGAAAGCUAGGAUCGCUCCAGCAGCCUUGCUCAUCCGACCUUUUUGCAGAAGGUAUGGAGUUUAGUCUUUCACUCUGCAGCACUCAGGCUUUGAGGUGGACAAGACAGUGCAGCUAAAACAUGCAAAAUCACUGAUUGCAAGGAAAUCAAACCCAGCGACCUGAUAGACUUUGGACGUACAUGGAAUCAUGUCUUCAUAAGCAGACAUGCUCAUUUUUUCUCUACACUCCUUUUUGAAGUCACAUCUAAGCUAAUUUCUGCUUUUCAAUAUGCUGCUCUUUGUAUAAGUUAUGUAACCUGUGGUUCCAUCUCUAAGAGCGAAAAUGAGCUGGAUUAAAUGGAUAAAGGUUCCCAUUUGGCUAAGAUGAAUCAAUUAUAUCAUAUAAAGGAAGGGAAUUUGUCAUUAGUGUCUUUGCCAAAAGAAGGCAGAUAUUCUCCAUUCGGACAGCCUGUCUGAUGUCAUGACCAGGUCGCUAUUUUCAAUUUCCUGCAACAGGCUUGAUUAUUAUAAAUUGGUGAGUGAAGUGGACAUUCAGUGCUAUGCAGAAAAUGCAGGUAGUGAUUUGUUCCAGUUCUAGCUGAGGGGAUUUUAAAACUUGGUUAUCUCCUCAUAAAGUGAAAUGCAUGUGUGGUGGUAGAAAAUGUAUGGGAGAAUGAUCAAACUGAUGCCUGACAAAGUGAGCAAUACAUUUAAGGAUUUUUGAUACACUGUGUUCAAACUCCUCAUAAACUCAUGAAUCAAAAAUGUCCCAGUUACUGCAUCAAUUACCAAACGAUUGUAAGGGAAACCUGCUGUCUCUCCAACAGAAAUGUUGACACAAGCUAUCUGAAGUCUAAAGGCUUUGACCUGCAAUAGAACUAGAAAAGAAAACAGGGACAGAUGUGGCUCCAAAACCACAAAACCCCUCCAACAGCCACUGUAUGUCAGCUUAGUGAUGUGCUCAUUAAACUUGUGAAUGUUCAACCAGCUAAGAAACAACGUUUCAAUGAACUUUUCCUUUUCUUUGAAUCUCUUACUGUACAAAUACAGUUUUUCUUUUCCAGAGGAAGGAAAGUAGUAAAAAAGCUCAGGAGGGUUUGAAAAGCUCAUAAAUGUAGCUGAAGGAGAGCUUGUAACACA